rnacentral:misc_RNA from 1 species
GUCGUAACAAGGUAUCCCUACCGGAAGGUGGGGAUGGAUCACCUCCUUUCUAAGGAUAAUAAAAAUCAUCAUCUUCAGUUUUGAAAGACUUAGAUUGAAAAAGUAAGUUUUUCUUUUUUUAAGCGCCAAAGGGCCUAUAGCUCAGUUGGUUAGAGCACACUCGUAUACAAGAUGCCGUG